GAUGAACGCUGGCGGCGUGCCUAAUACAUGCAAGUCGAACGCAUUGUGGUUGAAAUGAUAUGAAGAACUUGUUCAGAUUUGAUUUUCAACAUUGCAAUGAGUGGCGAACGGGUGAGUAACACGUGGGAAACCUACCUCUUAGCAGGGGAUAACAUUUGGAAACAAAUGCUAAUACCGUAUAAUAAUUAAAACCGCAUGGUUUUAGUUUAAAAGAUGGUCUUGCUAUCACUAAGAGAUGGUCCCGCGGUGUAUUAGUUAGUUUGGUGAGGUAAUGGCUCACCAAGACAAUGAUACAUAGCCGAGUUGAGAGACUGACCGGCCACAAUGGGACUGAGACACGGCCCAUACUCCUACGGGAGGCAGCAGUAGGGAAUCUUCCACAAUGGACGAAAGUCUGAUGGAGCAACGCCGCGUGUGUGAUGAAGGGUUUCGGCUCGUAAAACACUGUUGUAAGAGAAGAAUGACAUUGAGAGUAACUGUUCAAUGUGUGACGGUAUCUU
rnacentral:rRNA from 1 species